GCCUGGGUGGCUCAGUCAGUUAAGCUUCCGACUUCAACUCGGGUCAUGAUCUCAUGCUUUGUGGGUUCCAGCCCCAUGUCAGGCU
rnacentral:tRNA from 1 species